UUGGCAACCGGAUCCACCUCGCGGGUCACCACGAGGUAUUCGCGCAGCGCAAUGGCAUGCAGGUGCUC
rnacentral:sRNA from 1 species